rnacentral:tRNA from 1 species
GACCGCGUAGCUCAGUUGGCAGAGCAUUGUUCUAGUAUUCCAAAGGUCGUAGGUUCGAUUCCCACCGUGGCCA